UACGGAAGGCAGCAGUGGGGAAUAUUGCACAAUGGGCGAAAGCCUGAUGCAGCUAUGCCGCGUGUAUGAAGAAGGCCUUAGGGUUGUAAAGUACUUUCAUCGGGGAGGAAAAAACAAAACUAAUAAUUUUAUUUCUUGACGUUACCCGAAAAAGAAGCACCGGCUAACUCCGUGCCAGCAGCCGCGGUAAUACGGAGGGUGCUAGCGUUAAUCAGAAUUACUGGGCGUAAAGAGCACGUAGGUGGUUUUUUUAAGUCAGAUGUGAAAUCCCUGGGCUUUAACCUAGGAACUGCAUUUGAAACUGAAAUACUAGAGUAUCGUAGAGGGAGGUAGAAUUCUAGGUGUAGCGGUGAAAUGCGUAGAUAUCUGGAGGAAUACCUGUGGCGAAAGCGGCCUCCUAAACGAAUACUGACACUGAGGGUGCGAAAGCGGUGGGGA
rnacentral:rRNA from 1 species